GAUAUACUCCCUACGUCCCAAAAUUUUUGUCUUACAUUUGUCUAGAUACGAAUGUAUCAAGUCACGUUUUAGUAUUAGAUAUAUCCGUAUCUACACAAACUCUAAGACAAGAAUUUUGGGACGGAGGGAGUAUAAA
rfam:Triticum aestivum genome assembly, contig: Triticum_aestivum_CS42_TGACv1_scaffold_320328_4BL